AACUACAAGUUAAGACUGCCGCUCAGGCAGUUUGGAUUUCUCAUGCCUCUGAAUCAGCAGGCAAAGAAGAAAGUUGCAGUACUGGCUGGGGUGAAUGAUUCUGAAUACCAAGGGAAAUUGGACUACUCCCCAGUGGAGGUAAAGGGAGAGAAUGUUCAGAAUACAAGAGAUUCCUUAGGGAUCUCUUAGUAUUACCAUGCCCUGCAAUUAAGGUCAAUGGAAAAGAACAACAACUCAAUCCAGACACUACUACUAAAGGCACAGAUUCUUCAGGAAUGAAAGUUUGGGUCACCAUACCAGGUAAAGAACCAAGACUUGCCGAGGUGCUUCUGAAGUCAAUGGGAAUGCAGAGUGAGACCAGUUGAACACCUGGAAAGUGAGUGAAUGCAGAAAGAAGAGACCCUCAGACUAAGCAGAGACUGAAGAAGAAGAUGUUGAUAAAAUCAAUGCACAGAAAUCAGUGGCAUUCCUAUACACCAACAACAAGACAGAAGACAGAGAAAUUAAGGAGUCGAUUCCAUUUACAGUUGCACCCAAAAUCAUGAUACCUAGGAAUAAACCUAACCAAAGAGGCAAAGAAUCUGUAUUCAGAAAACUAUAAAAUACUCAUGAAAGAAAUUAAGGAAGACACAAAGAAAUGGAAAAACAUUCCAUGCUCAUGGAUUGGAAGAACAAAUAUUGUGAAGAUGUCAAUGCUACCUAGAGCGAUCUACACAUUCAAUGCAAUCCCCAUCAAAAUACCAUCAACUUUUUUCAAACAAAUGGAGCAAAUAAUCUUAAAAUUUGUAUGGGCCCAGAAAAGACCCCAAAUAGCCAGAGGAAUGUUGAAAAAGAAAAGCAAAGCUGGCAGCAUCACAAUUCCGGACCUCAAGCUCUAUUACAAAGCUGUCAUCAAGACAGUAUGGUACUGGCACAAAAACAGACACAUAGAUCAGUGGAACAGAAUAGAGAGCCCAGAAAUGGACCCUCAACUCUAUGGUCAACUAAUCUUCGACAAAGCAGGAAAGAAUGUCCAAUGGAAAAAAGACAGUCUCUUCAACAAAUGGUGUUGGGAAAAUUGGACAGCAAUAUGCAGAAGAAGGAAACUGGACCAUUUCCUUACAUCAUGCAGGGCUUUUAAAACCAUGUUGAGAAAUUUGAAUUGUACUCCACAUACAGUGGAAGCCAUUAAUGAAUUAUGAAUAGAAGUUGACAUGAUCCAAAUAUGAUUUCUCUGGCUGCCUUGUGAAGAAUGUGGAAGGUAAUAAGAAUGAAAACAUAGAGUUAGAAAGAUGUCAUAGUUCAAGCCAGGAGAAGUGAUGAUCUAAAGCAAAUUGGUACAGAAGAUACAACUAUAAAUCUGCUGAUGAGUUGCAUUUGGGGAUGAGAAUGAAGAAUGAAACAAAUAAUAAAUAUGGAUUCCUGAUUUCAACAAGUGGGAAAGUGGUGGUAUGUACUGUGAUGAGAAAUAUCUGGGGAGGGACACAGAUUUCAGAUGUCAGAAAAAUGUUCUUUUUGGACAAGUUAGUUCUGAGAUGUUGGUAAGACAUUGAAAUAGAAAUAACAAAUAGGCAAUUAAAUGUAUGCUUUCUAGAGGAAAUCAGACUAGAGAUAUACAUUUGGAACUCCUGGCAUAUGAAUGACUUAAAUGUCAUGAGAAUAAUGGGGAUGAUCUGGAGAGAGUGUGUAAAGAAAAAAAAAAAAAAAAGAAAGUGAACACAUGUACUAGAAUAAACAAGAAUAUAUGGCAUCACAGGACUCAAAAAAAAAGUUUUUCAAUAUGUAUCAUGAAAAAGAUGCUUAAACGCAACGCUUAUGUGAAUAAAUUGAAUUAAAUUUUA